GAAAAGCUACUAAAAAGCCCAUCAAAUUGUGAGCCGUACGAUACAGACAUCAUCCACGUGGCUGACUAAGAGACUGAAAUGAAAAGGGCAUACAGUAAACCCGCGGCGCAGGGAACUAACCCCACCCCUCCCCUGAAAACCACCUUCAGUUGAAAAUAAUCAGAAACGUUAGGAAGGAACUUCGACGGAGAAGAGGGCUUAGCGGUGGCCGGCGGAGACAGAGAAAUAUCAGAGACGCAAGGAAGGAAGAGAGUGACGUCUAAUUUUUUGAAUCGAUUUUCGCUGAGAGCACAGGCUCCCCAUAAUUGUGUCUAUCAGUGAUGAAUGUGGCUCAAGUUCUAAACUUGUGGUAUAAACUACAUUUGGCUUAAACUGGACCAGAUGUGGUGGAUGUUAGAACUUAAUUCCAAUUUGGAAAUUAUUUGAGUUUUCCAGUUGCUGGCUGCUAUCUGCUGAAGUCUAUGAUGUUAGCUAACUGAGGACAAGGUAUGUUGUUCAUCGACAAGCGCUGGGACAGGUCUAACUUUUUUACCUAAAGCUAGACUGUGAAGGCUGGCAAUGGAAAGGCGCUUUUUCUCUGAGUUAACUGUUGCUCGGUGGACAACACCUUUGUAUCGACCAUUGCUCAAUACUUCCAUGUGAUCUCCCACGAGAACAAUGAGGCCUCCUUCAAUGACUGGAACUGAAUGCCACUUUUCAUUUCGAUCCAUGAUUUGCAAGCCCUGAUGGUUUUGAAGAAUAAUGGAUAUCAAAGAAUAAUCUGUGUGUGGUGGCAAGCCUAGUGCAAGAUCCGGCUCAGGACAUGUUGGAUAGCAAUUAACGGCUAUGACCUGGGAGCCUUCUGCAAUGUCUUCAUUUCCUUGCAGGCCAGGUGUAGUUGCUGGAUUAUCUGUGGCCGAAGAAGAGGGUAUUGCAGUAAUGAUAGAUCCACAAUUGGCAAGCAUGUGUUGGGCAAGGUUCCGUUGGGGCGUAGGGAUGGUGGAAGAAUGUAACGCUUGGGAAUGCAGGUUAGUCCCUCUUCAGUAAGUGUCAUGGCACUUGUAAAUGAAUUAUUUGGUGAAGAGCUCUUCUUAUCCAUUUUGUUUUGUGGUAUUCAAAUAGGACUUAACACACUAUUUAUAUAACAGAAAAAUAUGAAGUUAUAAUAAAGUUACUUAUUUUGUUAUAUACAAUGAAUAUGUGUAGGGAAUGUGAUAUACCAUGACUAUAAGCAAUGAAAAGUAUGACUCACGAACAUUAUUAUUGUAUGCUCAUAAUAAAUGAAUUGUUGUAUAAUACUACUAUUGUUAUAUUUGAAGGCAGGAAAAUCUUAGAUGAUUUUUACAAGUUGAUCCAGAAUGUAGGGGGAAAAAAGAAUAGAAAAUCAAAAAAGUCGAAUAUAUACACACUGGUUAGAUUCAUUUUAGGUGGGUGUGUCCCACGCGCCAUGAAUGAGUAUAGUUAUCCAGGACCAGGUCACAAGCACCAGUAAGAUUGGGAUUUUCUUUAUUGCCGAUGUAAGCAGGACUGCUAUUUUAUAUUAUAGUUAGAUAUUUUGAUAAAGACGCAUUCAAAAUUUAUUUUUUAUGAGAGAAAAAUUGUCUGUUUGCUAGAAGAGUUAAAAUUAAUGAAAUGAGGUCUAAUGGCAAGUGAACUAAGAUAUAAUUUUUUUUCUUUUGUUUUUGUUGGCUAAGUUAAGAAAACAAGAAUAAAUGAAAAUACAUGGACUACAUACAUAAUGAAUAAUCGUAGUAAUAUUGUUGGCAAUUAAUUUUAAAGCAAGAAAAUAUUUAUUCAUGAUUCGAGGGUCGUUAGUGGCGUAUUUCCUCAACUAGAAUGAUUUAGAUUUUAUCUUUAUAUAAAUAUUUUAUGAAUUUGUGGAAUAUUCGAGAUGCCUUAGUUAUCUCCUUUAUAUAAGCAUGAAAUAGAGUUUAGGAUUAAGUAGCCUUUAAAAAUCCAAUUGAAAUUAAAUACACUUUGUAGAGUUCCAACUCGAAUUGAACACAUCUUGUAGAAUUCAACAAAAUUUCAAUGUCUAUAAAUGCCCUGGUUUCAAGGCUUGUCGGAGUGUAGACUUGAUGAAAUUCUAAGACCAGACUUGAAGUACUCAUCUUCCACCUUUGCAAUUUUGUGGCUUCAGAGUUGCUGAUUUAGUUUGCAAAUUUUUUUAAGAUAACAUAAAAUGAAUAAAAUAAAUUGCAAUCACUAAUAAAAUAUGAAGAAACAUAACUUAUUGAUAAAUAUUGUGGGUGCAAUCUGUCCCCUCCCGUGAUAUUUCUCUCAUGAGAUUUGUUUAUCGAUGAUUCGAGGGUUCCUUAACUCUUCUCUCAUAAGAUUUAUUAAUCCACAAUUUCAGGACCGUCAGUGGCGUAUUUUCCAAACUAGAAUGAUUUAGAUUUGAUCUUUAUAUGAAUAUUUCAUGAAUUUGCGGAAUAUUAGAGAGGUCUCUUUAAAGGAAUUUAGUACUCUUUAUGUAAGCAUAAGCUAAGUUUUAUGGUCAAGUAGCCUCUAAGAAUUCUAAUUAGAACUAGACACACUUUGUAGAAUCUCAACUUAAACAGAUGAGUUCCACAAAUUUCAAUGUGUAAAUAUGUAAGUAAGAACUAGCAAAAAGAUAGGUGAAUUCUUUUGCAUGUAGAGCUUGAUAAUGGAGUCGUGUUUUACAAGUCAAGAUGAAAUGUCUUCUUCUAUCCCGCCAGGAUUGUUUUAAAGGGCAAAAAAGGAUAUGGUUCAAAUUUUUAAGUUUCCAUAGAUCAUAAUUUUUCACUCAAAUCAAUUCACGGGAAAAAAAUACAUUGUGGAAGAUUGAUUCUCAUUGAAAUAGUGGGAAACAUUUUAAUUUCUCUAUAUGAAAAUAUUAUUUUAUUUUUCGUUUUUUUAUAGAUUCAAUCGGAAUGUCUUUGAAAAACUUACCGAACAUUUUUCAGUUAGAAAAUAGUUUUUUUUUUAAAAAAAUUGAGGUGAUGGAGAUGGGACUAUAAAGGGUGGGAGGUAUAUUUAAGGGUGAUGUGGGAAAUAAUUAAUGUAAGUUGUUAUUUGUGGAACUUGUUUUAUCUCAUUUUUAAGAUACCAGAGAAAAUAUUCUAUAUAAUUUUAAAUCAACCAGAAAUAAAUAAAUUAAAAAAUAUUUUCUUCCGUUCGAAACACACCCUUAUUAUGUAAUCUUUCAAUCUCAAAAGUCACAAUAGUCCAAAUUAUCACUUUUCUGUUCAAUCCUUGCCAGAAAAUGAAUGAACCAAAUAAUAUGACAACAUCACAUAUUUUUUUUCAAAAGAAAAAGUAAUCAACUUGUUUCUGUUAAAGUAAUUCCCGCAGCAAGCAUUGGGACAGCAGCUUUAUCAUCAACAUGUACUUGCAUAGUUUAUAUUAGAUCAAGUAUAUGCGUUGGCAAUUUUUUAUUUUUUCGCAAAUAUUUGUAAUGAUAAUUGAACUUACACGUAUUGUGUAAGAGACUCUUAUCGAUAACACGUAUUGUUUGAGGAUGCUGAAAAAAA